UACGAGGGACCACCUUAUACAUGGGACCCCCUUAUAUACACGGGACCACCUUAUACACGGGACCACCUUAUACACGGGACCACCUCACCUACAUGGGACCACCUCACCUACAUGGGACCACCUUAUACGAGGGACCACCUUAUACAUGGGACCCCCUUAUAUACACAGGACCACCUUAUACACGGGACCACCUUAUACACGGGACCACCUCACCUACAUGGGAGCCCCUUAUACAUGGGACCACCUCACCUACACGGGACCACCUCACCUACGCAGGACCACCUCAAUUACAUGGGACCACCUUAUACAUGAGACCACCUUAUAUACAUGGGACCACCUCACCUACAUGGGACCACCUUAUAUACACGGGACCACCUUAUACACGGGACCACCUUAUACACGGGACCACCUUAUACACGGGACCACCUCACCUACAUGGGAGCCCCUUAUACAUGGGACCACCUCACCUACACGGGACCACCUCACCUACGCAGGACCACCUCAAUUACAUGGGACCACCUUAUACAAGGGACCACCUUAUAUACAUGGGACCACCUCACCUACAUGGGACCACCUCACCUACAUGGGACCACCUUAUACGAGGGACCACCUUAUACAUGGGACCCCCUUAUAUACACGGGACCACCUUAUACACGGGACCACCUUAUAUACAUGGGACCCCCUUAUAUACAUGGGACCACCUUAUAUACACGGGACCACCUCACCUACACGGGACCACCUCGUCUACGCAGGACCACCUCAAUUACAUGGGACCACCUUAUACAAGGGACCACCUUACUUACAUGAGACCACCUUAUAUACAUGGGACCCCCUCACCUACAUGGGACCCCCUCACCUACAUGGGACCCCCUUACAUUUUGUUUUUUAUUAAAUGUUUGAUUUUGGGUUUUACACAAAAAUAUUCGCAGUCUGUUAUGUCGCGUCUCAAUCUCUUUCCGAUACGGAAUUAUCAUCGAUCCUUCCAUCCGAUCCACAGCUCAGUGUUCCUCCCUCAGGUGUCAUAAUACGAGGUCCCGUAUACACCGUACAUAUAUAUAUAUACACAACCCCUCAGGUGUCAUAAUACGAGGUCCUGUAUACACCGUACAUAUAUAUAUACACAACCCCUCAGGUGUUAUAAUACGAGGUCCCGUAUACACCGUACAUAUAUAUAUACACAACCCCUCAGGUGUCAUAAUACGAGGUCCCGUAUACACCGUACAUAUAUAUAUACACACAACCCCUCAGGUGUCAUAAUACGAGGUCCCGUAUACACCGUACAUAUAUAUAUAUAUAUACACAACCCCUCAGGUGUUAUAAUACGAGGUCCUGUAUACACCGUACAUAUAUAUAUAUAUACACAACCCCUCAGGUGU